GUGAGGCUGGUGGAGGGGGUGGGAAGGCUGAGGGUGGUGAGGCUGGUGGGGGGAGGCUGAGGGUGGUGAGGCUGGUGGGGGGUGGGAGCCUCCCCCCACCAGUCUCACCACCCUCAGCCUCCCACCCCCCACCAGCCUCACC